UUUGUGGAGUUUGCAGACUGCUGUUUGAGAAUUGUUGAACCUCCAGAGAAGGAGAACGUUCUGCCCGAGCAUGGAAGAACCCUGGACUGGUGACACACGGUCCGCUUAAUCCUCAGCUGAAAGGUCUGCUAACAAAGCGUUUGCCUGCGCCAGCGAUGAUUCACUGAAAAUCAGACCAAGAACAUUACCCAGCUUUACAUGGCCUGAAGGAUUUAUUUGGAGCAAGGUUCCAGUUAAUGGAAAGAGCAUUGCGGUAACGUAUGUGCCAUGUGGAUGAAUUCGGCAAGGACUGAAGCACAUCUACUAGAGUAGCAGCCCAGGCCUGGCGGGGACGCUGCAGCUUUCAGAGCACUCAGGUGAGAACUGGAAUUAGCAGUGUGUGACCAGUCAGGCAAGCGACCGCAGUGUAUUUAGCACGGUGCAAAUACCUUCUCCACUGUGAAACAACACAACUCGUGUACAUCCUCGUUCAAAAAAAUGAAAUGUGUGCGGUGUGUUUUGGCCUUUAAAGGUACCAGCGUGACAACUGGGUUUAUGAAGCUGCUCUCCUGCGGCUGAAGGCCUCCACCAGGUACCACGUGCUAUUGAUGUUCGGGUUACAAGGUUCUGUUGGGCCCUCUGCCUUCGCACUACGGUCUAAGGUCUAGAAGCUCUGGACCCAUUUAGGUACUUUAUGCUUGGUGAAAGGAAUUAAUGUAGUUAUAAGCAGCAGCUUCCAAGAGAAUAUAAAUUUAGGCUACACUUAACCUCAAAAACUGAGUUUUAAGCAUUCAGCUCUCUGAGGGAAUGCAAACAGUCUAACAGAGCCAACGGAGCUGUAUAAGAGGGAACAGAUUUCCAGUACCCUAGGAGAGAAAGCUGUCUCAUUCCACCAGCUGCCCCACACUCUCCUCUUUAAAAAAGCAAUUGUUACUCACAUCCUACUGAUUUCUGUGGCAUUACUUACUUGACUGAUGGUUGCAAUCUGACCAGAAACACAGAAAUACAAGUAAAGGGACAAAAGAUGCUGGUUUAAAAUUCAAUGUUUGAUAUUUGAUCUUAGCGAGG